AAAAUGUCAAAUACUCAUUUAAAUACAUUCCCACCAUUAUUUAUAAUAUAAGGGUUUAUAAAGUCUAAAUUCAUUCCUGUCAUCUAUAAAUCUUACGGUACCAAUGAUAACCGAUAAGUAAGUGUACCCACACAUGUAUAACCCAAUAUUAUGAAUGUGCGCUUACAAUACGCACGUGUAACAUACUACUGACGAACCAGGGCAAAAUUAUUUGUUCGUUUGUUUACAAUAUGAGCUGA